rnacentral:misc_RNA from 1 species
AGCAGCCGUGUUUCCUCGUUUUUGGUCACUCUUCUUCGUCAGCGUUCGCAACGACAUGUCAGCUGCGCAGAAAACGCGUCGCUGUCAGUGGUCUCUUGUCGGUUCGUGUGUGUGUGUGUGUGUUGGUGACGGUUUGCUUCUGCAGCUCGCGAGCCGUCUCUUUCUGUGCAUGUGUGUCACACACAUAAGGUGGAGCGGAGCACGACAACCUACACGCCUUAGCCGCUACACGGAUUUCAUCCCCCCCCUCUUUCCCGAAUAGCAGCGAGAUGGACAAGAUAAAGGAAGCGUUUAGCCGAGUGGACAAGUUCUCCCUGGAGAAUGCUAACCGGCUGUGCACGGAGGUCGAGCGUAUCGAAGAAACACUUCUCAGUGACGCAGGCGAUGCCGAACGCAAGAACAAGCUGAUCGAUGCCUCCCUUCAGCACAUGCGGGAGCUCACCGAGGUGCUCGUCUGGAUGGACAGCAACCACCACGAGUGGUUUGAGCGGGUGCUGGAGCGCGACGUCAUGAACACGUUCGAGCGCCUAGUCACCAAUGGUCUAAUGCCGUCGUCUGUAAAACUGCAGAGCCUGCAGAGUGUCACGUUCAUGCUGCAGAACAUGUCGCGGGCGCCGUCGCUCUACUACCUCUGCAGCAACAAUCACAUCAAUCGCAUGGUCGCCGUCGAGUUCGACAUCCACGAUGACGAAUUCGUCUCGCUCUACGUGUCCUUCCUGAAGUCUUUAGCCCUGCGGUGUACACCCGACACAGUGCCGCUCUUCUUUGAAGUGCAAGAUAGGGCCUUUCCGCUCUGGGAUCGGGCUGUACGGCUGCUUUGCUCGGAGGAUGUCAUGGUGCGCACCGCCGCCAAGCAGAUCAUCGUCACCAUCGCACAGUUACAAGACACGGCGGUGUCUGCCUUCAUAGACGCGUCCAUCGCUGACGUCUUUCGAAGUGUGCUGCACUUCGUGAAUGCGCAGAUCGUGCGCCUUGCAGCACAUGUGCCGUCCUGGAUCACCCUACAAGGGACGGAGAGUUUCUCACGCGCUUCCAGCGACCCCAGCGCGGCGGUUUUCCCCCUAUCCUCGGACGCUGCUGCGACACCGCCGUCGCCUGCAGCUCGAGCCCCCCUAUUGGUAAACACGCGUGUGCUGGCAAUGCAACUGGAGGACGUGGAGGACGAGCUGCUCUAUGUAAAUGAUCUUUGUCGCACACCGGUGUCGAACGCGGGUGCGCAAGCGGCGGCGGUGAUGCAGCGAGUUCUCUUUCCACGCUUCCGCGGCGCCAUCGAGGAUGAGGUGGAUUCUGCCGGCGUCGCCUUUGCCCCUUCGGCGGCGAGUGUGACGUGUGCCAAGUACGCGGCGCCUGGUGUUCAACCCAGCGGCUCGUAUGCCCCUGCGUGCGUUGUGUUGGCGUUCCUCUUCUAUUGGUCACAGGUGAACACCGACGCUUGCGUUGACGCCGCGUUAGUCGACUUCUUCUUGGAGCCGCUCAACUCAUCCCCCGGGACCUCGCGCUUCACCGUGGCGUCCAUGGUGUUGGAGUCCACACGCGUGGACCUGCAUGAGCCGGUGGUGGCCGUCUGUCGGCACGCGCUUUUGCGGGCAAGACCUCCGCCUACCUCAUCGGUUUCGCCUCCGCCACCGUUGCGCUUCCCCAGCUCGCUUGCUCAGUUCUUCUACGCCGAAACACCGUACCAGCACACGGGGAUGGUGCUGAUCGGUGGCCCAGGCUCCACGAUUCUGCCCUCAAAGGAGAAGUUCGUUCGGAAAGUGUGGCCAUCGCCGCGGACCGACACCCCCAAUGCAUUCGUGCCCCUCAUCCCCCACGUAGUUGCCGCGCUUUAUACCCAAGUGAAGUACUUCCAGGCAGCUCGACUCAGUUGCGUGACUGCCUCGCUGUCGUUGCUGCUCGAAGUGAUUCCGAGUGCAGCGCCGGGCAAGGCCGACUGGGCAAACGUGUACCUUGAGAUGAUGAAGCUGGUACAGCGUCUGCUGCUGGACUGCGCGAAGCAGUACGCCUCGGCGAUACAGAAGACGGUGCAGGAGCAGAAGGAUGCGGACAGUGUCGUGCCGCUCUCUCGCAUUUCCUUCCGCGACAUCGAAUCAGGGGACGAGGAGGCACCGCUGCCGAUCAGAGACCCCUACGCGCCGAUGUUUCUGAAGCUGAAGGAAGCAGCCAUGUGGAUGAAGACGGCAGAGCAAGCGCGUUCGCCGCUGCUGGAGACGGCGGUGCAGCACAACAGCAAGAAGGACCUGUACCUUUUUUUCCCCUCCUUUCCUCUUCUGUUGUCGGAUGAGUGCAGUCUCGUCCUGAGCGCGUGGCCGCCGCUCCUCCUCAGAUCUCACCAGCAGCCGCGUGAGGCGGCACAAUGGACGAUCGCAUACCACGCUCUGCAGGACAGCAUCGUGCGCGCCUUUGACUACUCAACUCGCUCGCCGGUGUCGGAUGCCGAGUGUGAGCUGAAUCUGUAUCGCAUUUUUCUCUUGAUGCGGCGUGCGUUUGCGUGUCACAUCCAGGGGAACGGAGUCGACCUGCUGCAAGCAACACUGCGGCAGCUUUCGCCUCAGCACACGCAAUCGAUGCACUUCAACUUGACUAACGCAACCACGGAGCUUUCCGUUCGGUGCGAGAUAACCAGCGAGUGGCACUCGGACAGCCAAGCGCCUCCCAUCGCGCCACCGGGAACGCCGGUCUGCAUGGUGCUCCCUUCCGCGGCCGCCGGUACGGAGGGGAGGGAGUUACUUUUCUUGGAGAUUCCCAUCAGCGUUCCGGAGAGAGUGCGCUCGCAAGAGCUGCUAACAGGCGAGUACAAGCGGCGUGUCCUCUGGAGCUUAGAUCUGGCCUUUGUGGGUAUCGCUAUCCACCCGCGGUACCCUUUCAAGGUUGUACUGUCCUACCAGCUCCCGGGGAACUUUGCGCAGCUGCACCUCGUCACCACCGGUGCGGCGAUGGCGCGGAUGAUGGUGACGGACGUGGAGAAGGCGGCCAACGAGUGCCGCCAGCGGGGUGCGUCUUUCUGCUUUGGCAUAAUGAACUACAGGAGCGCCCUUGUCGACGAGUAGGGCAAACAAGAAAGCCCUGCAGAUUAGGGCGUGGCAAAGAUCGUCUUUCGAGGAGUGCGAUGGGUAAGGUGGUCAACAUGCGUGCACCCCCUCUCCCUCCAUCCUUCUCGAUAUCCGCUGUUCAGAAGGGCGAGAAAAGCGGCGUUUGUUAUUUUGAUUUUUGCGAGAAACGUGCAGGAACAAAACAUCACCGUUGCUCAGUCCAAUGGUGCUCGAAAAAGUUUCGGCAUGGACAG